UCUUAUGGAUUAGCAAAGCAAGUGGUUUCUUGAGAUAGAAUCUACUCCUGGUGAAGGCGCUGUGAG
rnacentral:pre_miRNA from 2 species